rnacentral:rRNA from 1 species
UACGUAGGGUGCGAGCGUUAAUCGGAAUUACUGGGCGUAAAGCGUGCGCAGGCGGCUUUGCAAGUCAGACGUGAAAGCCCCGGGCUUAACCUGGGAAUGGCGUUUGAAACUACGGAGCUAGAGUAUGGCAGAGGGGGGUGGAAUUCCACGUGUAGCGGUGAAAUGCGUAGAUAUGCGGAGGAACACCGAUGGCGAAGGCAAUCCCCUGGACCUGUACUGACGCUCAUGCACGAAAGCGUGGGGAGCAAACAGG